rnacentral:tRNA from 1 species
AAGAAAGUGACAGAGUGGUUAUGUGGUCGGCUUGAAACCGAUAAAAGGGGGUUCGAUUCCUUCCUUUCUCG